CAAGCUCGCGAGAGUAAGCUAAUCUCUUAAAGCCGCUCUCAGUUCGGACUGUAGGCUGCAACUCGCCUACACGAAGUCGGAAUCGCUAGUAAUCGCGGAUCAGCAUGCCGCGGUGAAUACGUUCCCGGGCCUUGUACACACCGCCCGUCACACCAUGGGAGUUGGCAACACCCGAAGUCGGUAGUCUAACCGCAAGGAGGACGCCGCCGAAGGUGGGGUUGAUGAUUAGGGUUAAGUCGUAACAAGGUACC
rnacentral:rRNA from 1 species